UCCAUUUCUUGCUCGACUGGCAGUGGUGGCGUACUUGUUUUGUCCUUUGCUUGCUUGACUGGAGGUGUUGGUGUACUUGUCUUGUCCUUUGCUUGCUUGACUGGAGGUGUUGGCAUACUUGUCUUGUCCAUUGCUUGCUUGACUGGAGGUGUUGGCAUACUUGUCUUGUCCUUUCCUUGCUUGACUGGAGGUGUUGGCAUACUUGUCUUGUCCAUUCCUUGCUUGACUGGAGGUGUUGGCAUACUUGUCUUGUCCUUUCCUUGCUUGACUGGAGGUGUUGGCAUACUUGUCUUGUCCUUUCCUUGCUUGACUGGAGGUGUUGGCGUACAUGUCUUGUCCAUUCCUUGCUUGACUGGAGGUGUUGGCAUACUUGUCUUGUCCAUUCCUUGCUUGACUGGAGGUGUUGGCGUACAUGUCUUGUCCAUUCCUUGCUUGACUGGAGGUGUUGGUGUACUUGUCUUGUCCAUUCCUUGCUUGACUGGAGGUGUUGGUGUACUUGUCUUGUCCAUUCCUUGCUUGACUGGAGGUGUUGGCGUACAUGUCUUGUCCAUUGCUUGGUUGACUGGAGGUGUUGGUGUACUUGUCUUGUUCAUUCCUUGCUUGACUGGCAGUGGUGUCAUACUUUGUGUCUCCAUCUCCUUUCUCUCUUGUUUGA